UUCAAUAAUUUUUCAGAUUUCCUCUAAGAAAAUCCCUUUUUUCGCUGAUUUAAACUUUUUUUCGUGGAAAUUCGCAAUGUCAACCGCUUCCAGAUAUACACUUUAUGGGUCGUUAGGCGUCAGUUUAGGGAUCAUCGCCUACGUUUGCGGAAAACAGCAAUAUGACAGACAUGUUCUGCGAGAGGGUGUAUGGCGAGAUGUGGAGCGACAACAGCGAAAGACAGAAAAUAUUUAUUUGCUGCAACAACAAAUUGACUUAACAAAGCAACUAAAAGCACAACAAGAGAAAAGUGGCAAAAGUAUCGAGACGAAUAGUUAAAAAAUGCAAUAAAAAAUGAUUAGCUUGAUAGUUUCAAAAAUGAAAUAUUAUAUUAAUUGCUUAUUUUUUAUGUUCAAUAAGAAGCAAAGUAAUAUUCCCGCUUGUGUCAUUACGUCCACCGUGCUGGAUUCCAAAAAGGAUUCCUUUUGAGCCUUGAAUGCACUCGUCGAUGUCUUGCCGGGUCGCAGCAAUGUGG